AUUGAAGCUUGCUUCAAUUGCCGGCGACCGGCGCACGGGUGCGUAACGCGUAUGCAACCUACCCAUAACAGGGGGAUAACACUGAGAAAUCGGUACUAAUAUCCCAUAACAUCAUGAGGGGCAUCCCUUAUGGUUGAAAACUCCGGUGGUUAUGGAUGGGCAUGCGUUGUAUUAGCUGGUUGGUGAGGUAACGGCUCACCAAGGCGACGAUACAUAGGGGGACUGAGAGGUUGAACGGCCACAUUGGGACUGAGAUACGGCCCAGACUCC
rnacentral:rRNA from 1 species